UGACCUCGGAUCAGGUAGGGAUACCCGCUGAACUUAAGCAUAUCAAUAAGCGC
rnacentral:rRNA from 1 species